CCUAGCAAACAUAUCAGAAAAGGAGUGUAAACACUUAAAGUAUUAGUAAUUUAAAACUAGUACGACCUUAAGGGAAACCUAAAAAUAUACUACUAACUGAACCGAAACAUCGUAGUAAGUUAAGGAAAGGAAAUCAACCGAGACCCUGUGAGUAGCGGUGAGCGAACGCAGGUUAGCCUAGUAAUAUGAAUAGUGUAAUUUAAUAUUCUGAAAUGGAUAGUCUCUCUUUCGCCCUUUUUAAUUUUUUAUUUUUAUAUUAGAGUAAGAAGGGAAGGAAAUAGAUGAAGACAACUGAUAAUAUCAGAUACCAUAGAAGGUUAUAGUCCUGUGAACAAGCAUUUUUAUUACAACUAGCUAACUAUUAUUUUACUGGUGAUUUUUCUCCUUCUUCUAGAGGGCCAAAAACAAAGGUGAGAUGAUAUUAGUGAGUAAGACGGAAGUAAGUCUGUCUGAAUAUGGGGGUACCAUCCUCCAAGGCUAAGUAUGAUAUGUUUAGCGAUAGUGAAGAGUACCGUGAGGGAAUUG
rnacentral:ncRNA from 1 species